CUGCUCGCUUCAGCAGCACAUAUACCAAAAUUGGAACGAUUACAGACAAGAUCAGCACGGCCCCUGCACAAGGAUGACAUGCAAAUUUGUGAAGCACUCCGUAUUUUU
rnacentral:snRNA from 1 species